GGGCGCUUAGCUCAGCGGGAGAGCGCUGCCUUCACACGGCAGAGGUCGAGGGUUCAAAUCCCCCAGCGCCCACCA
rnacentral:tRNA from 1 species